UCGGUAUAAUCAUAACAUCUAAAAUAAUUCAUAUUUUGAUUAAUAUGAAUAUUAUACAUGUAUCUUGCAAAAUACGUUAAAUUAAGUUAUAAAUCGGCUUCUAACUAAUUAAUAGAUAUGUAGAAUAAUCUAUCUUUGUUCCCUAUAUUUUGGAGAACAAAAAAAUUACACACACAUAUAUUACAAAUUUAUAGUUUUGAU
rnacentral:lncRNA from 1 species